GUGAGCUGGCGGACGGCUUCGGGUGCCUAGCACCUGAGGAAACUCCGCCCACCACGCUGAACUGUAGCGCUCGUAAAGGGCGUGAGGCGAGAGCCUUGGCUCCGGAACAGAAACGAAACGUCCAUCCGUAAGAUGGCGAUGAGACGUGUUAAGUCGUCGAGGAUGCGGUUGGGAGCGGUGAAACGGCCGACCUGCAGGGUGAAAGGGCAAAUAGGCGUCUGUGAAUUCUGC
rnacentral:RNase_P_RNA from 1 species